rnacentral:rRNA from 1 species
GACGAGCGCUGGCGGCGUGCUUAACACAUGCAAGUCGAACGGUGAAGCCCUUCGGGGUGGAUCAGUGGCGAACGGGUGAGUAACACGUGAGCAACCUGCCCCUGGCUCUGGGACAACCACUGGAAACGGUGGCUAAUACCGGAUACGACCCGCCUCGCCAUCGAGUGUGGGUGGAAAGUUUUUCGGCUGGGGAUGGGCUCGCGGCCUAUCAGCUUGUUGGUGAGGUGAAGGCUCACCAAGGCGACGACGGGUAGCCGGCCUGAGAGGGCGACCGGCCACACUGGGACUGAGACACGGCCCAGACUCCUACGGGAGGCAGCAGUGGGGAAUAUUGCACAAUGGGCGAAAGCCUGAUGCAGCGACGCCGCGUGAGGGAUGACGGCCUUCGGGUUGUAAACCUCUUUCAGCUCCGAAGAAGCGAAAGUGACGGUAGGAGCAGAAGAAGCACCGGCUAACUACGUG